rnacentral:rRNA from 1 species
GUGGGGAAUCUUCCGCAAUGGACGAAAGUCUGACGGAGCAACGCCGCGUGAGUGAAGAAGGUUUUCGGAUCGUAAAGCUCUUUCGUUAGGGACGAACGUGCUCUUUGUGAAUAAUGAGGAGUAAUGACGGUACCUAAAUAAGAAGCCACGGCUAACUACGUGCCAGCAGCCGCGGUAAUACGUAGGUGACAAGCGUUGUCCGGAAUUAUUGGGCGGAAAGCGCGCGCAGGCGGGAUAUCAAGUCUGUCUUAAAAGUGCGAGGCUCAACCUCGUGAGGGGACAGAAACUGGUAUUCUUGAGUGUCGGAGAGGAAAGUGGAAUUCCAAGUGUAGCGGUGAAAUGCGUAGAGAUUUUGAAGAACACCAGUGGCGAAGGCGACUUUCUGGACGAUGUCUGACGCUGAGGCGCGAAAGCUAGGGGAGCGAACGGGAUUAGAAACCCUGGUAGUCC